UCCCAAAUAUCUGAGCCACUGUGUGUUAUUUAUCUGUCCUGUAAUGUUGGAGGAAUUAUUUGAGUAAAUAACAAGAAUGGAUUCUCCAAAAAUAAAAUGGUCGCUUUUAUAUCUAUCCAUAAUCAUCUCAAUUCUCUUGGCUUUCCACACUCAAAUCGCCGUGAAAUUAACAGUCGGCCACCACAAGCCUCGCCUGAAGCGAACUUCCGAUCUUCCUCUCCGAUUCCGCGACGAUGGCACCUUCAAAAUCCUUCAGGUGGCUGAUAUGCAUUUUGGUAUUGGAAGUGUCACUCGGUGUCGCGAUGUUUUGCCGUCUGAGUUUGAUUUUUGCUCCGAUCUUAACACUACUCGCUUUCUUCAAAGGAUGAUUCAAUCUGAGAAGCCUGAUUUUAUUGCUUUCACUGGCGAUAACAUUUUUGGGACGAGCACUCCUGAUGCUGCCGAGUCUCUAAUUCGUGCAUUUGGUCCAGCUAUGGAGUCUAAAAUUCCAUGGGCAGCAGUCUUAGGGAAUCAUGACCAUGAAUCUACAAUGACUCGUGAGGAAUUGAUGACUUUCAUAUCUUUAAUGGAUUAUUCAGUCUCAGAAAUCAAUCCAUCAGCUGGUAAAGGAAGCAUGAUAUCAAACAUCGAUGGAUUUGGAAAUUAUGAUCAUAGAGUUUAUGGAUCUCCAGGUUCUCUCUUAGCAAACCAAAGUGUGCUCAAUCUUUACUUUCUUGAUAGUGGAAGCAGGGAAGUUGUUGAAGGAAUUCGAACUUAUGGAUGGAUUAAGGAAUCUCAACUCCGUUGGCUUCGUGGUGUAUCCAAAAGAUAUCAGGGCCAGAAGCAUGAGUCUAAUCACUUGGCAGAGGCUUCAGUCUCAGCUGCGCCUACAGCGCUGGCUUUUUUCCAUAUCCCGAUUCCAGAAAUUCCACAGCUAUACUAUCAAAAAAUUGUAGGGAAUUUUCAGGAAGCUGUGGCCUGUUCAUCAGUGAAUUCAAGAGUCUUACAGAGCUUUGUAAAUAUGGGGGAUGUGAAAGCUGUAUUUAUGGGGCAUGAUCACAAAAAUGACUUUUGUGGAAAUUUAAAUGGUAUAUGGUUUUGUUAUGGUGGAGGCUUUGGAUACCAUGGUUAUGGAAAGGCGGGGUGGUCACGAAGAGCGAGGGUUAUAGUGGCAGAACUUGGGAAGGGUGCUAACUCAUGGAUGGGAGUGGAGAGGAUUAGGACCUGGAAGCGUCUUGAUGAUGAGAAGCUGACCAAGAUUGAUGAACAAACUUUAUGGGAGCUGGAGAAGUGAAGAUGACAUAUGUUGCAGGUAACAUUGUACCAUCUUUUUUGUUUUCUUCCUCUUACACCCUGCAUGUGAUAUAUUUUGGUAAAUUGCACCUGUGUUGUACCAUAAGAGUUGAAACAUAAGACUUAGGUGUGCUGCUAGGAACGAGAAGCCAAGCAAUUUUUUUGGUCACACUUUCAAUUGGAACUCAAGGUUGUGAAACCAUUUAAUCGAUGUAAAUUAGAAUAUCAUAAAAUUUCAGAGUUCAUAUCCGAUAGUAUCGUCGACUCUUCUUAUACAAGGAACUAGACAGAAAAGCAUAUCACGUUGGCACUCCUCUAUAAUCUUUAUUGUAGUUGCAGUUUUAAGAAAAUACCCAAAAGAAGUUGGUUUGAGCACUGAUCUGCAUUUUCAUCUCUAUCAACAACCUCUAAUAAACAACCUUUUCUAUGGGAAGAUAGAAAACACAAAAUCCUAGAAUGAGGACUCAUUAUAGCGAGUAAGCUACAGUUAAGCUUUUAUUGACAAAGUCAAAAGCAUCAGAUUCAAUAGAAAUUUUCUACUAGGUUUGAUUUGUUUGGUAGUCAGCCAUAUCUUGUUCUAUUAAAACUUUCAUAUUUGACAUUUAUUUUCAUUUUCCCAUUUCUUUUUAUUUCUGUUUGCUACUUGUAGAACUGCAGCAUGCCAUGUAUCUUUAGCUAAAAUUUGAUAUUUUGAUCCUUUAUUGGCAUUUUGCUCUUCCUAAGAACAUAAACUAUAGGGUGUUUUAUGAUGUUCUGACUGUUGUCAUGCAGAUUUGAAAUUUUUGUGAAAUUCAAAUGUUAAGAAUUGUUAGCAGCAUGUUUUAUCUGGAAUCAACUAUUUGUUUUGGCUUACAAAAAAGAAGGCGAAGAGGUUUCGAGUUUGUGAAUCUGCCAGUUAUUGAGAUCACAGUUUAUCGACACUGUGAAGCAUUGCUUACGAGUGGUGUUAAUUUGGUUGCUACUUCCAUAACCAUCUAUGGAACUGAUAAAUGGGGCUGAAGGUUUUUGUUUCUUGAGGGUGGAAUUCAAAUGGUCAUCUUUCAGGUUUUGCUAGCAGUACUAAUCGGAGUGAAAUUCGGAUCUGCGGGGCAAGUGAUGGAUUUACUAACAUAGUACGUGUUCGUGGUAGUGAUAUGUAUCUACAUCAUCGUAGCAGGAUUCGCAUGGUCAUGGGGGCCAUUAGGAUGGUUAGUGCCGAGUGAAAUAUUCUCAUUGGAGACUCGAUCAACCGGACAAAGCGUUGUGGUGGCAGUGAACAUGAUCUUCGCAUUCUUGGUGGCUCGGCUGUUCCUAACCAUGCUAUGCACCAUGAAAUUUGGGUAUUCAUCUUCGCGCUGUAUUCGUUUUUUUGAUGACGGAUUUCAUUUAUUUCUUCUUGCAUAACGCCCCUAUCGAAGAAAUGUCUCGGGUUUUGAAGAAUCAUUGGUACUGGAGGUGGUUCAUGCCUCAAGGUUGAGAUGAUGAGCCAUUACAUAUUGUUACGAUCUAGAAAUAAUUUCCUUUAAUCAUUAUUGUGUUAAGAGUUGUAAUAAAAUUCAAUUGAUUGAGCUGUUUUUGUUUAUAUACACAUACAAAUAUGUUUAAGCAUAUGAUUUUACUAUA